rnacentral:rRNA from 1 species
UACGGAGGGUGCAAGCGUUAAUCGGAAUUACUGGGCGUAAAGCGUGCGCAGGCGGCUUUGCAAGACAGAUGUGAAAUCCCCGGGCUCAACCUGGGAACUGCAUUUGUGACUGCAAGGCUAGAGUACGGCAGAGGGGGAUGGAAUUCCGCGUGUAGCAGUGAAAUGCGUAGAUAUGCGGAGGAACACCAAUGGCGAAGGCAAUCCCCUGGGCCUGUACUGACGCUCAUGCACGAAAGCGUGGGGAGCAAACAGG